CCCACGCGGGGGCCAUCCUUCAGUAUCGCACUACGGUUCACUAUCACACAGUCAACAUGCCUCUUAAGAUCUACAAAAUGGACGCGAGUCCCCCUGCCAGGGCGGUGCUGAUGAUGGCCGAGCUUCUGGAGCUCAGACACGAAGCUGUGGACGUCAACCUGAUGGCUGGAGAGCACCUCACACCAGACUACUUGAAGAAGAACCCACAACAUACAGUACCAGUACUGGAAGAUGGUGACUUCUACCUCGCAGACAGUCACGCUAUUAACACAUAGUUAGCAUCCAAAUAUGGCGGCCCACUGUCUGCGCAGCUGUACCCUGCAGACUACCAAGUGAGAGCGACCAUCAACUCAAGGCUGUUCUUCGACAUUUCAGCCAUCCAAGGAGCCACGAGUCCUAUAGUAGGAGCACUUCUAAGUGGAGCAAUCACAUCACCCACUAAGGAACACAUCGACAAAUUGAACUCUGGCUAUGAAAUUUUAGACAAAUACUUACAGAAGACCAAAUUCGCGGCAGCAGAUCAUCUGACGGUGGCUGACAUUUCACUUGCAGCGUCUGUUUCAUCAGCAUCCAUCAUGGUCCCUAUUGACGAGAAGUACAGCAAACUGACGGCCUGGUUCAACGCAAUCCAGCAGGAGGACUGGUACAAGAAGGCCAAUGUGCCAGGAUUAGAAGCAUACAAAGCAUUCGUGUUCUCCAGAGUGAAGUUACAUAUAAGGCCAUGGCCAUUUACGUCGAGUCAGUACUUCAACCGGAUAGUCACCAUGGUCAUCAGGAUAUACAAGAAAGACGCCAGCCCACCAGCCAGGGCUGUCCUAAUGGCUGCUGCCAUCAUCGACUUAAAGUGUGAAGUCCAAGAUGUGGAGUUACCAUCAGGAGCUCACCUUUCUCCAGAAUACCUUGAGAAGAACACUCUACGUUCAGUACCCUUCUUAGAAGAUGGUGAUUUCUACCUAGCUGACAGUCAUGCCAUCAUCACAUACUUAGUAUCGAAAUAUGGUGCUGAACAUCGAUCCAAGUGGUACCCUUCUGAUUUGAGGGUAAGAGCGACAGUGGACCAGCGAAUGUACUUCGAUACUUCUGACCUGUUUCCUCACAUUAAGGAUAUUGUCAGUGUGAUUGUGACUCAAGGAGUGGGCCCAAAUGCUGACCAGAUUAAGGCAAUUAAUGCUGCUUAUGGAGUUUUGGAUCAGUAUCUCCAGAAGACCAAGUUCGUGGCAGCCAAUCAUAUGACGUUAGCUGAUGUGUCAUGUGUGGCGAGUGUGUCGUCACUAAAUAUCCUGUGUCCUGUCGAUGAGAAGUAUUCUUACCUCCUCAAAUGGUGGGAUGCCCUGAAGGAGGAGGAUUGGUACAAAAAGGCCAAUGAACCCGGAUUGGCUAAGUUAGAAGCGUAUAUUAAGUCGAAGUGGACAAAGUGAGGGUAUAAAAAUAUUUUGUUUUUCAGCUUCUUUCGCUAUUAAUUGGUAUUUUUAUAUUUUUGUAGGAUACUUGUAAUGU